rnacentral:rRNA from 1 species
AACACAUGCAAGUCGAGCGAGAACCAUUCCUUCGGGAAUGGGGACAGCGGCGAACGGGUGAGUAACACGUGGGUAAUCUGCCCUCGAUUCUGGGAUAGCCCGGGGAAACCCGGAUUAAUACCGGAUAGCCUCUCGAGCUUUCGAGCUCCUGAGAAAAGGUAGCUUCGGCCUCCGAUCGAGGAUGAGCCCGCGGCGGAUUAGCUUGUUGGUGGGGUAAUGGCCUACCAAGGCGACGAUCCGUAGCUGGUCUGAGAGGACGAUCAGCCACACUGGGACUGAGACACGGCCCAGACUCCUACGGGAGGCAGCAGUGGGGAAUCUUGCGCAAUGGGCGAAAGCCUGACGCAGCGACGCCGCGUGGGGGAAGAAGGCCUUCGGGUUGUAAACCUCUUUCAGCAGGGACGAAGCCACGCGGGUUAAUAGCCCAGAGGGUGACGGUACCUGCAGAAGAAGCCCC